ACUCCUACGGGAGGCAGCAGUGGGGAAUUUUGCGCAAUGGGCGAAAGCCUGAUGCAGCAACGCCGCGUGAGUGAUGAAGGCUUUCGGGUCGUAAAGCUCUGUCAAUGGGAAAGAAGUGUAUUGAGGCUAAUAUCCUCGAUACUUGACGGUACCCAUAAAGGAAGCACCGGCUAACUCCGUGCCAGCAGCCGCGGUAAUACGGGGGGUGCAAGCGUUGUUCGGAAUUAUUGGGCGUAAAGCGCGUGUAGGCGGUUUGUUAAGUCUGUUGUGAAAGCCCUGGGCUCAACCCAGGAAGUGCACUGGAUACUGGCAGACUUGAAUACGGGAGAGGGUAGUGGAAUUCCUGGUGUAGGGGUGAAAUCCGUAGAUAUCAGGAGGAACACCGGUGGCGAAGGCGGCUACCUGGACCGAUAUUGACGCUGAGACGCGAAAGCGUGGGUAGCAAACAGGAUUAGAUACCCUGGUAGUCCACGCCGUAAACGAUGAGAACUAGGUGUCGCGGGUA
rnacentral:rRNA from 1 species